rnacentral:rRNA from 1 species
ACGAACGCUGGCGGCACGCCUAACACAUGCAAGUCGAACGGCAGCAGGUCCUUCGGGACGCUGGCGAGUGGCGAACGGGUGCGUAACACGUGGAUACCUGCCCAGAGGCGGGGGACGAACAACUGGAAACGGUUGCUAAUACCGCAUAAGCCCUACGGGGGAAAGGCUUCGGCCACCUUUGGAGGGGUCCGCGUCGGAUUAGCUUGUUGGUGAGGUAACGGCUCACCAAGGCGACGAUCCGUAGCUGGUCUGAGAGGAUGAUCAGCCACACUGGGACUGAGACACGGCCCAGACUCCUACGGGAGGCAGCAGUGGGGAAUAUUGCGCAAUGGGGGGAAACCCCUGACGCAGCGAUGCCGCGUGGGUGAAGAAGGCCUUCGGGUUGUAAAGCCCUUUCAGCAGGGACGAUAAUGACGGUACCUGCAGAAGAAGACUCCGGCUAACUCCGUGCCAGCAGCCGCGGUAAUU